GAGAAGCAUAACGAAAUUUGAGAAAGAAAAGAAAGAGAACCACGGCUUAGGGGUUUCAAAAGUUCCAAAUUCAAUUGCUAAUGUUGUGCAAGAGUUAUUGUCCGAGAAAAGAAAGGAGAAGGUGGACAAGGAGUGAUUCGAGAAAAUUUCGGUUAGUAGAAAGCCAGUGUCUGGUCCAGCAUCCAGAGCAAUCCUGACCUCAAAGAAAUUUUAGUGAUGUACCUUUCUUUUGAUAAUGCGGCAUGUAUCUAGGUGAUGUAUUAAUUAAAGUACGCUAUGUAUGUUAUUUAUUUGUGAAUUAGUUAUAAGCUAUCCGAUAUGUCUGAUAAUGCUCCAUAACCCUAUUCCGGUGACGGUUUGGGGUUAGGGGGUGUUACAAAGAGUAGGUCAAAGGGGGAAAUAAAUAUUGCUCUUUAGGUGGCUGAUGAUGAGACUAGUCCUAAAGCCAUCGACAUAAAAGAACUUCAAGAGCAGAUUGCACUGCUUACUCAUAAUUUUAAUAAGGCCUUUAAGAAGCAAUUUGGAAGAUUCAAGAAGUUUGAUGAUUCGAAGAACACUCCUAAAACUAAGAGUAAAGGUGUUGUUGUCAAGGAGGAAGCUGAAAAAGAAAAGAAGAAAGACAUCUAGUGCCAUGAAUGCCUUGGCUACGGUCAUAUUCAGGCUGAGUGUGCAAACACUUUUAAGAAGAAAAAGAAGUCUUUAUGCAUGACCUAGAGUGAUGAAGACACCUUUAGUAAGUCUAAAUUUGAUAAGGACCAAGUGAACAUUUAUGUAGCCUUUGCUUCAAAUGUAGUUUCUGGUUUAGAGGCUAAAAUAG